rnacentral:rRNA from 1 species
AUGAACGCUGGCGGCGUGCCUAAUACAUGCAAGUCGAGCGAACGGACGAGAAGCUUGCUUUUCUGAUGUUAGCGGCGGACGGGUGAGUAACACGUGGAUAACCUACCUAUAAGACUGGGAUAACUUCGGGAAACCGGAGCUAAUACCGGAUAAUAUUUUGAACCGCAUGGUUCAAAAGUGAAAGACGGUCUUGCUGUCACUUAUAGAUGGAUCCGCGCUGCAUUAGCUAGUUGGUAAGGUAACGGCUUACCAAGGCAACGAUGCAUAGCCGACCUGAGAGGGUGAUCGGCCACGCUGGAACUGAGACACGGUCCAGACUCCUACGGGAGGCAGCAGUAGGGAAUCUGCCGCAAUGGGCGAAAGCCUGACGGAGCAACGCCGCGUGAGUGAUGAAGGUCUUCGGAUCGUAAAACUCUGUUAUGAGGGAAGAACAUAUGUGUAAGUAACUGUGCACAUCUUGACGGUACCUAAACAGAAAGCCACGGCUAACUACGU